GUGAGGAAUAUUGGUCAAUGGGCGCAAGCCUGAACCAGCCAUGCCGCGUGCAGGAAGACGGUCCUAUGGAUUGUAAACUGCUUUUAUUUGGGAAUAAACUCCGGUACGUGUACCGGCCUGAAGGUACCAAAUGAAUAAGCACCGGCUAACUCCGUGCCAGCAGCCGCGGUAAUACGGAGGGUGCAAGCGUUAUCCGGAAUCAUUGGGUUUAAACGGUACGCAGGCGGUCUUAUAAGUCAGUGGUGAAAGCCUACAGCUCAACUAUAGAACUGCCAUUGAUACUGUAGGACUUGAAUUCGAUCGAAGUGGGCGGAAUGUGACAUGUAGCGGUGAAAUGCUUAGAUAUGUCACAGAACACCGAUAGCGAAGACAGCUCACUAGGUCUGGAUUGACGCUCAGGGACGAAAGCGUGGGGAGCAAACAGGAUUAGAAACCCCGGUAGUCC
rnacentral:rRNA from 1 species